UACAUUCUCACCAACAGUAUAGAAGGGUGCCCUUUUCUGCACAUCCUCCCCAACAUUUGUUAUCUGUUCUCUUUUUGAUGUAACAGACUACACUUUAUACACAAUUGAAAUUGAGAGUCAGCAAAUGAACUUUCAACUUGAAAAUAGUCAAACUGCCAAUGUCAAGGUUCUACUGUAAUUGCAUAUAUACCUCAUGAAGCCUUCCAUGAUGGGUUUCUGCCUAGAGAAAUAAGGUCAGGGAAAGUCUUGAUGUCUAGACAUAUACCAAAUACCUACUUACAAUUAAUAUCUGUUUGCAGGGUACUUGCUACCCAAGUGAAGACAAAACCAUUUUUUUUAAAAAGCCAAAUACAUCCAGAGUGAUCCUGAGUAUGUUUCAGGGCCAAGCAAGCAGCACACUGAGGGCUGAGUUAAAGAAGAAAGAGGGACGCCUGUGGUCUAGGGGGCCUUGCAAAGUUCAUAGAGGAUAGGGAACAUGGGCUGGGCCUAUAAUGGGAAGGAUUUAAUAGGACAAGGACGAGGAGGCAGUGUCCUACCGAGGCAAGGUUCUAGGUGUAGAUUCAGAGCAGCUUGGAGGGUGCUCUGGGAGAAACCAGAUGUGUCUGUUCUGGCUGGAGAGGCUCAUGCAGGGAGUAAUGAACAAUAAUACUGGACUGGAAAUGGUGAGGCUCAUGCAGUCAGACUGUCUGGGGUCAAUGCUUAGCCCCUCUACCUACUAGCAGGCUAAUUUUGCACACACUACUUAACCACUCUGAGCUUCCAUUUCCCAUCUGCAGAAAGUCAUUGAACCUGCUGAAUUCAGAUGCUAUGAGUAACGGAAAUAAUGUAACUGCAUUUAGUGCCAUGAUAGGCUUGAGGUGAAUGUUAAAUAAUAAUGGUAUUAUCAUUAUUAACAUCAUCAGAGGCUUCAGACUAAGGUAUCUUGUAGCUGCGUCACUGCAUUCUCUGCCUCCAUCUUCCUGCAGCCUUUUCCUGUGUCCUCCCCUCUUACAAGGACACCAGGCAUUGGAUUUUGGGCCCACUCCAAACCAGCACGACCUUAACUGAUGACAUCUACAAAGACAUGCUGUCCAAAUAAGGUCACAUUUUAAGGUUCUACGUGGACAUGAAUUUUUUUAGGGGGUAACUAUCCAACUCACUACAGUGACACAGGAAAAAUGAUGUUAAUAGAAACGAGUCAACAUUUUAAAAAACGUUUUCAUUUUGAAAUAAUCAUACAUAAAAGAGUUGCAAAAAUCCUACAAAUAAUUCCUGUAUUCAGAGUCCCCAGGUGUUAACAUGUGACCACAUGUGCUUUCUCCCCCCAUUCUCUCUCCACAUGUAUGUCUACGUAAUGGAUUUUCUGCUCUGCUUGAGAGGAAGCUGCAGUCAUGAUGUCCCUUUCCCGGUGAACACUUUAAGACUUUCCUUUGCACGUGUGACUUUUCAAAAGAUCCCACCAUGUGAAUGUUCUGCGGAAGAAUAAAACAAGCAGCUCUCAGGCUUUCUCGUCAGCACUGGCUUUGGAGGGGAUGAAGUGACUUCCGAAGG